rnacentral:lncRNA from 1 species
AAAUGGUUGGAAAAGCUUCAGUAGGUGUUCAUGAGUAAAAAAAACGUUUAGAAACUAACUUGUUUUGAAGCUUGCUUAGAUGAGUUAGAACUCACUCUUUUCUUUGCAAUUUUGGAGUUUGAGUAAGCUUCUCUCAACGGUUUUCCUUCGUUUUUUCGAUGGUUAUUAUCUACUGAAAGUGUUUGGAUGCUUUUGGGUGAAGAAAAGUGAAGGUUAGAGGGUGUUUGAGUCAAUUUCGGAUUUUGGAAAAGUGAUGAAGAAAAAUGAGAUUUUGAUUUUUUCUCUUCUCUCUGUUUCUCUGUGUCCUCUUUUGCUCUGAACUCUGCUCUCAAUUUAUAGACCAAAGUGAUAAUCUUUGUCCAUUGGAUUAAUUGAGUUUGAAUUGAUUAAAGUGAGGUUUUGGAAGAAAAUUUGGUUUUGCAAAUUCAAAGAUGGAAUGAAAUGAUUUGCCCUUUUGUUUGGAGUAUUAGAUGGUGAAGACUUAAAGCUUGUUUUGGAAAAAGUUGAAAGUAGAAAUCCAGAAAACCAGGGGAGGGAGGCGCAGCACUGUUGCUGUUGCUGCUUUUCUUUUUUUUCUUUUUUUUAUAUUUUAUUAAUUAACAAAAUUAAUAAUAAUACUAAUAUAAUAUAAUAAUAAUAAUAAUAAUAAUAAUAAAAGAAAUUGUAAAAAGAGGGUAGGACAAAAUUAGGGUAUGACAGCUGCCCCUAUUUAAUUACCUUGGACCCAUAAGUAUGAAUGAUCUUUGUCUUCAUAAUCUUGAGGUGCAAGGUAAUUAAAUACAAAUGCCCUAAUUUUGCUCCACGGAGAAAAAUGAAUUUGAUGAUGAUAAAGAAUGAGAUCCACUUCCCUGGAAAAGUCGGAUACUCAAGGUAGAGAUGAUUCUGAUUUUAUUCAGCCGCCCAC